UUAAACGGCCGCGGUAUCCUAACCGUGCAAAGGUAGCGUAAUCACUUGUCUCCUAAAUAGAGACCUGUAUGAACGGCUAAAUGAGGAUUAACCUGUCUCCUUUAAUUAAUCAGUGAAACUGAUCUACCAGUACAAAAGCUGGUAUUUUNCCNUUAGNCGAGAAGNCCCUGUGGAGCUUUAAAUCUAAAACCNNCAUUAACCAAAACCAAGUCAUGCAAUGGCCUAAGAUUUUAAGUUGGGGCGACUUCGGAAAAAAACAAAACUUCCGAGCAUAAGGAAAUAAACCUAAUUAAGACCAACAAGUCAAAACAAAACUUGACCCAGUAAAACUGAUCACCGAACCNAGUUACCCCAGGGAUAACAGCGCAAUCUUCUUCAAGAGUUCUUAUCGACAAGAAGGUUUACGACCUCGAUGUUGGAUCAGGACACCCAAAUGGUGCAGCCGCUAUUAAGGUUC
rnacentral:rRNA from 1 species